GCUAAGAAUAUUCCGCAAUGGACGAAAGUCUGACGGAGCGACGCCGCGUGGAUGACGAAGGCCGAAAGGUUGUAAAGUCCUUUUGUCGAUGAAGAAUAAGGGUAGGAGGGAAUGCCUGCCUGAUGACGUUAGUCGGCGAAUAAGCCCCGGCUAAUUACGUGCCAGCAGCCGCGGUAACACGUAAGGGGCAAGCGUUGUUCGGAAUUAUUGGGCGUAAAGGGUACGUAGGCGGUUUGGUAAGCCCGGCGUGAAAUCCUGCAGCUUAACUGUAGAGCUGCGCUGGGAACUGCGAAACUUGAGUCAUGGAAGGGGAGGUAGAAUUCCAGGUGUAGGGGUGAAAUCUGUAGAUAUCUGGAAGAAUACCGGUGGCGAAGGCGAACUCCUGGCCAAUGACUGACGCUGAGGUACGAAAGUGCGGGGAGCAAACAGGAUUAGAUACCCGAGUAGUCC
rnacentral:rRNA from 1 species